ACAAUUGGUCUGAAAUGGCUAAGAUGUGACUAAUAUUAAUAACUGACAAUUUCCCUAAUUUUGCCCUCUCUUCCAACAUAGGACCAACCUGAGAACCCCAAACAUGAACCCCUGACCAAUCACAAAGGAUGCUCCACCUGUAGCUAGCCCACCUGCAGGGUCUCCAUGCCAAGAGCCUCCAAUCAGGCAUACCUGAUGUCACCCAGCUUCCACGAGAAGGCUUGCCCGUGUCUCUACCUGCCUUUACAUUUCUACCAAACACAAGUGAUGGUGGGUGACCCCCUUGCUAUAAAAAGCUCUGAAUAAACAGCCUCUUCUUGGUCUCAUGUGGGUGAACUCACUGAUUUCCACAGCUCUCAUGGACGUCCCAGCAGACACAGUGGGCACUGCCCAACUCUGCAGACCCCAGCCUUGGACCACGAGUUUCCUGAGAAGACAGAGAGGCCCCUAGUACCCGCUGUACACAGCUUGUCAAGUCCACGCUUAUAUGGAGACAAUGCUUCAGAAGAAGCCUCCUAAUUGUGCUUUGUGAAAAUGUUAAUAACGAAAUUCUCUUUGGGUGGAAAGAACUUUAGUAUACCUGCACGGGUCAGAUUAUAUCUCACUUGCUCAUUACAGAAGAACUCACAAAGACCCUGGAACGUGUCGUCAGAUGUUUGCAAGGGCUUUGUCUCCAUCCUACUCCAAUCUCCCAAUUUAUCCCCCUCCCUUUGAGAUUUCAUUUUAUAGGAGUAUAUCCUAACUUUGUAUCUAAUUUUUACUCAAUUAUACUGGAUUAUAGUUUCUUUUUAUUUACCUUGUUAUGAUUAAAUCUGCACUGUUUUUAAUAUAUUCAAUUUGUGGUGUUUGUUUGGAAAAGUCUUUGACUAAAGAUAAGGAGGAGAAAUUCCUUAAAAAUUAAAUAUGUGAAACAGUUAUCAUAACUGGGAUGUAUCCAUCUGUAAACAAAACCAAAACAAUAAACAAAAGGUGAAUGGGAAAAUCAGUGUAUGCAUCAUUUAUUAGAACUAUUUCCACAGAAAAUAUUUUAAUAUUCUACCCCUUUUUGAAGUGGUUAAAACUGUGACCAUAUUCACUAACUGUACAUUCACCUAAACUGUUUGGUGGCAAUUUUUUUUAUAAUUAAUUCGUGAAAGGUUUUCUUUCUAAAAAGGUGACUGUACAUGGAAAUCAAAUCUUACAGCGAAAGUAGGGUUGGCUCGUGUCUGUACCCCUGCCAUUCCCAACAAAGUUGCAUGAAAUUCUUCAUUCAUAACAGAAACUCUGUGUGACCUUCAAAAGAGUGGUCAUGAGAAGCUGCCCAGGAAUUUUGUGUUUGGCUCUUUAGGACAAGCAGCUGCUGAAGUUCUUCCAAAAGUUUGCCAUGAAUGUGUACGUGACUGAGCCUUGCAGGGUGAUGCAGGUUGUGUAACUUGGAUUCUCUCGAGAUAGAUAUUUGGUGACAUGUUCAUGGGUCCAGUUUCAUGGUUAUUCCAAGAGAAAUGCUGAUCAGCAUUGCAUUUAUUUUGGGAAAGGGAAGGUAAUCCACUGUGUGUGUUUCAGGCACCUGCCAGCUCUUCUGUCAGAUCCUGGGUUGCCUCAGCCAGCAGUCGUGGCCUUCCAAAGCACUUCGAGCCCUGCGUUGGCUACUCUUCGCUACUGAUCAUUGCCUCUGGCAGAAACUGCGCAGGGAAAGAUGUGACCUUAGGGCAGGCUCACUCUUCAGGACACCUUGGUUUGUGGAAGUGAAGUCCAUUUCACUCUUGGGUCACCCUUUGAACUCAGGUUACCCUGGAGUUGGUAUCCCAGGUGGCCCAGUGGUAAAGAAUCUGCCUCCAAUGCAGGAAACCUGGGUUUGAUCCCUGGAUUGGGAAGAUCCCCUGGAGAAGGAAAUGGCAACCCAUUCCAGUAUUCUUGCCUGGAAAAUCCCAUGGACAGAGGAGCCUGGCAGGCUGUGAUCCGUGGGGUCACAACACAUUGGACACAACUGAGUGACUAAAUAACAACAGAAAACCCCAGAGUCACUCCAAUUGUAGCAAUAAAUAUGGGACUUCUAUUUUAUUUAUCUAAAUUAUCAUCUUUAUAUUUGUUGGCAAGCUUGGGCCACAAUGUGGACAAUUGGUUUAAAUAGUUUUGUAAAAUUAAUUUCUUUGGACACAUACCUCUAGUAACUUAUGCCCUUUAUGUCUUAUUAAUGACUAACCCUCAUUAAUGAAAUUAAUUUGAAUAUGGUUAGAGGAAUUGAGUGGACAUUUCAUAUUCGUUAAAGAUAAAUUAUCUCUCAAACCAAAGACAAUAUGGCUUUUAAACAAGACUGCUGUACUCUUUUUAGAAACUCCUGUUUAGAGGACUUUUGAGAUGUGCCUUGGAGACAUUCAUUCAUUCAAAAACUAGUCACUAUCAUGUAUCAGAUAAUUUUCUAGGUACUAGGAAUUCAAUAAUGAAUAAGAC
ensembl:lncRNA